UUAUUCACCACAGUAAAUUGGAAUGACACAGAGAAGAUUAGCAUGGCCCCUGCACAAGGAUGACAUUUACCCAGAAACAACAAGGAAAAUAAUUAU
rfam:Amborella trichopoda AMTR_V1.0_contig_20315, whole genome shotgun sequence.